rnacentral:rRNA from 1 species
AUACGGGGGAGGCCAGCGUUGUUCGGAAUUAUUGGGCGUAAAGGGCGCGUAGGCGGCCCGGUCAGUCAGUUGUGAAAUCCCUCGGCUCAACCGAGGAACUGCAGCUGAUACUGCCAGGCUUGAGUCCCGGAGAGGGUGGCGGAAUUCCUAGUGUAGCGGUGAAAUGCGUAGAUAUUAGGAGGAACACCAGUGGCGAAGGCGGCCACCUGGACGGGUACUGACGCUGAGGCGCGAAAGCGUGGGGAGCAAACAGGAUUAGAAACCCCAGUAGUCC